AUAGUGGGGUAGACCCGUGGCUAUCGUCAUAGCCCGCCACGUAGGGCCUGUUGCAAGUAGUGGAGCGGCGUCUGUUGCCGCUAAUUGUCAGCGAGUAGUGGGAUCGUGCAGCACCUGCCGCAGGGAAUGGAGCAGCAUCGUGGCCGUUGACACGGCCUGUCAGAGAAUAAUGGGUCCGCCGCAGGGGGUGAUGGAGCCGCACGGAAUCCGCUACAGGAAGUGGAACAGGAUCAUGGUUGUUAUUGUGAUCUGCCAAGGGGCGCGGAUCUAUUGAUCGAGGCUCGGCAGUGGUCGGAGUUUGGCCUUUGUAGGAGUCCGGGAGGGGUCCUCCUUUCGGU
rnacentral:lncRNA from 1 species